rfam:Oryza barthii chromosome 4, whole genome shotgun sequence.
UACAACGUUUGACUCUUUAUUUUAUUUAAAAUUUUUCUGUGAUUAGUAUUUUUAUUUUUAUUAGAUGAUAAAACAUGAAUAAUAAUUUAUGUGUGACUAUUUUUUUAAAAAAAAUUUAAAUAAGACGGAUGAUCAAAUGUUGGACACAAAAA